UGAAGAAGAGAAGGAGCUGAAGAAGAAAACAGUCAGUCCAAUGGAGGACAACAAUUCUUCCCUAAAAAGUGAUGCUGAGAAGAAGUCCUUGGCACAAUGCAGCUGGAUCAGCACAGGCACAAAUGGCUUUGGCUGUGUCUGUAACUCAGAGGUCUGUGUCACGUUCUCUGGAAAGAGGGAGAUGAUUUGAAAGGCUGAGCUAGUGUGAUGCUCCCUCCAGAAAGGAUCCUGAAGAAUGACAGGAAAGGAGCAGCUGAAAGCCAUGCUUUUCAGGUCACCUUGAGAGGCCUUGUCCAAGGAGACUCACUGAAGAGAGCAGACCUGACACAAGGCACCAGAGAGCACACCACUGUUGCACUCUUCACUGCAGCUGCCUUAAUAGGAAGGCUAAAUCCAUUGUGUCAUGGCGCCAGAAUAUUUAUAGAUGGUGAAAACAUUCAGAUAAAUGUCAUGUUAACAAAUGCAUGAAUAAACAUCUCUCUGUUACUGUUUUCUUGAUAUCUUUACUACAGACAAUACAGAAUUCUGCUUUGGCUAGAACUAGAUAGCAGAAAUACUGUAAUUCUGUGAAUCCUUAUGUAACAUGAGGUAUAUGCUAUUUUAAAACUUCUU
rnacentral:lncRNA from 1 species